GCUUUGUAAGGCUGCACUGUAAAUUUCAAAUUUUCUUGUAUGGUUAUAUAUAACUCAAAUCAUAGUAUUUUCUAUGCAUUUUGCAAAAUUUCCGUUGACAUUUUGUAGUUCAUCUUAAUGUUUAUCUCCUCUCAUUUUCCUUACUCACUUUCCGUUGACAUGGAAUAAAUUACUGCUUUCAGCUAUUAUUUGCAUCUUUAACUAUUUAUAUAUUCCCUAGUUUUGCCAACUCUUUCUUUUUUCCCAUUUCAU
rnacentral:misc_RNA from 1 species